CCUAUUCCUAUUCCUAUUCGUAUUCCAAAAUCCCUAAAAUCUAAAUCCCUGCAAUUUAAAUCAAACCCCCCAAAUUAAAAUCUCUAAAAUCUAAAUCAAACUCUCCAAUGUUCUUCAUUUCUUCAUCGGUUCACCAGGCUUUCUGAGGUUAGGCAAAUCCCUCACCCGUCUUCAGUCUACGGUCUCCCAUCCCUCCCCUGUUGAAAUUGGUGGUGGAAAUUGCUGCUGGUAUGAGCCUUGAGGUUAUAAUUGUUGCUGCUGCUGCUGCAUAAACUGCAAACAGGAAAGAAGAUUUUAGAUAGUUUGGUUUCCAUUUUAAAGGAGGCAUAUGAGAGAGAAAAAAAGAAAAAGCAAAAGUAAAAUCUAACUUGAAAACUAUCUUCGACGUCGGAGUUUCGAGGUCCGCCAUUUUUCUUUAGCAAUUUUCAUUUCAAUGAUGCUACAUUGUCACGUGCUCAUUUACACUAUUGACAUGUUGUUUUGUUUCUUUAUGUUUUAAGAAUAAUAUGGUGAGUUUUGGAAGUCAAAGCAUAUGGUUUUGGUGGUUCCGAUCUUAAUGGUUGUAAAUACUUAGGUGGUUCUGAUUAUUUGGGUUGUAACGACACCAAGACUUCGUUACAUAGGCAGAUAUGGUGUGUUGCAGGGAUAUUUGCUUGAAAAAUAAACAAGUCUCUUUUCUUAAUUGUCAUCUCUGUUUCUUUUCUUGUCUGCUACUUCUUUAUUUUCUUUCUUGUGUUGUUGUUUCUCUGCUGUUAG
rnacentral:lncRNA from 1 species